UUUAAAGUCUAAUCUGCCCCAUGAGAAGUUAAAUGGCCGCGGUACUUUGACCGUGCAAAGGUAGCAUAAUAAUUAGUUUUUUAAUUGAAAGCUGGAAUGAAUGAUUGGACGAGAAAAUGACUGUCUCAAUUUAAUUUUUUUUUGAAUUUUAUUUUUAAGUAAGAAAGCUUAAAUUUUAUUAAAAGACGAGAAGACCCUAUAGAGUUUUAUAGUUAAUUUAUUAUUAAUUUUUAAGUAUUAUUUUAUUAAUAUUAAAUUGAAUAUUUUAUUGGGGUGAUAGAAAAAUAUUAUUAACUUUUUUUAUGUUUAUACCAUUAAUUUAUGAUUAAAUGAUCCAUAUUUUAUGAUUAUAAGAAUAAGUUACCUUAGGGAUAACAGCGUAAUUUUUUUUAAGAGUUCUUAUCGAAAGAAAAGAUUGCGACCUCGAUGUUGGAUUAAAAUAAAUGUUUGGUGUAGAAGCUAAAUAAUUAGGUCUGUUCGACCUUUAAAAUUUUACA
rnacentral:rRNA from 1 species